rnacentral:rRNA from 1 species
UACGGAGGGUGCAAGCGUUAAUCGGAAUUACUGGGCGUAAAGCGUGCGUAGACGGUUACAUAAGUCGGAUGUGAAAGCCCCGGGCUCAACCUGGGAAUUGCAUUCGAGACUGUGUAGCUAGGAUGCGGAAGAGGGAAGCGGAAUUUCCGGUGUAGCGGUGAAAUGCGUAGAUAUCGGAAGGAACACCAGUGGCGAAAGCGGCUUCCUGGUCCAGCAUCGACGUUCAGGCACGAAAGCGUGGGGAGCAAACAGG